rnacentral:rRNA from 1 species
CGGGUAGCCGGCCUGAGAGGGCGACCAGCCACAUUGGGACUGAGAUACGGCCCAGACUCCUACGGGAGGCAGCAGUGGGGAAUAUUGCACAAUGGGCGCAAGCCUGAUGCAGCGACGCCGCGUGCGGGAUGGAGGCCUUCGGGUUGUAAACCGCUUUUGUUCAAGGGCAAGGCACGGUUUCGGCCGUGUUGAGUGGAUUGUUCGAAUAAGCACCGGCUAACUACGUGCCAGCAGCCGCGGUAGUACGUAGGGUGCAAGCGUUAUCCGGAUUUAUUGGGCGUAAAGGGCUCGUAGGCGGUUCGUCGCGUCCGGUGUGAAAGUCCAUCGCUUAACGGUGGAUCCGCGCCGGGUACGGGCGGGCUUGAGUGCGGUAGGGGAGACUGGAAUUCCCGGUGUAACGGUGGAAUGUGUAGAUAUCGGGAAGAACACC